GACGAACCGUGCGAACGUUGUUCGGAAUCACUGGGCUUAAAGGGCGCGUAGGCGGGCUCGCCAGUUAGGGGUGAAAGCCUCCAGCUCAACUGGAGAAGUGCCUUUGAUACUGCGGGUCUCGAGGGAGGUAGGGGCGUGCGGAACUUCCGGUGGAGCGGUGAAAUGCGUAGAUAUCGGAAGGAACACCGGUGGCGAAAGCGGCGCGCUGGACCUCUUCUGACGCUGAGGCGCGAAAGCCAGGGGAGCAAACGGG
rnacentral:rRNA from 1 species